rnacentral:rRNA from 1 species
UACGAAGGGGGCUAGCGUUGCUCGGAAUUACUGGGCGUAAAGCGCACGUAGGCGGUCUUUUAAGUCGGGGGUGAAAUCCUGGAGCUCAACUCCAGAACUGCCUUCGAUACUGAGAGACUUGAGUCCGGGAGAGGUGAGUGGAACUGCGAGUGUAGAGGUGAAAUUCGUAGAUAUUCGCAAGAACACCAGUGGCGAAGGCGGCUCACUGGCCCGGUACUGACGCUGAGGUGCGAAAGCGUGGGGAGCAAACAGGG